rnacentral:ncRNA from 1 species
AUCGCCCAUUAUUCCUAUUGAUUGAAUAGUCCAAUGAAGUUUUUGGAUUGUAGUAAUGUCGACAAUUUGUCAUCGAUAAUGUUGAAAGAAGUUCAGUAAAUCUUAUCAUUUAGAGGAAGAAGAAAUUGUAAUAAGGUUUUUGUAGGUGAACUUACAAAAG